rnacentral:lncRNA from 1 species
AUGCUGAAACGGGACCUCACCGCUCACCCAUAUUGCUCAGAGAUAGUGACCCAACUGCUUCGAAUCUUUUAUCUGUGUCAAACCUGCAUGAACGCUCCCGGCAUUCUCACCACGGCUGCAACCCGGAGGCACCCGAGAUGCUCCUGGAUGAGCGGCACGAGGUCCUUAACACAGAGGCCAGGUCAGGACACAGGCAAGGCGCUGUGGAUGCGCUCAGGGCCCGAAUGCACCUGCUGCAGUUGUUCAAGGCAGGUGGCCAGAUGGUGGCCGGUGGUGUUCACAGGAGGCGGGAACACGCCAGGGCAGGGGGAAGAAGGCAUGAGGGGAGCAAGGGCCAGGGGAGCACCUGGCUCCCAGGGGGACAUCGAGCGUGGGGGGCUGCUCUGGCGCUGGAGGGGGAGCUGUCCACUUGGGAGAGCCCAGGAGCUGCAUUCUGGGGUUGUCUCCUGGAGGCAAACGGAAAACCCCAGAACGCAGAUAACCGCCCAGCAGGCUGUGUCUGAGGUCGCUGCUGUCACCGGGUGCAGACCUGACCCCAGAGACCAGUCCCCACUGACGUGCCCUGAGGACCGCAGGGCCUGUGAGGCUGGGGUCCGCACCUCUUGGGACUUGCUGGGCGAGGGCCACACUGAGCAGACCACCCUGCCGGCCGCCUCCUGGGCUGCAAGCCCUUCUCCACGUGCUGUCGGCCUAUUCCGCGUACAACACCGACGAGGAAUAGAUGUGCACUGGCAUUUACACCCCCAGGGAGUUCCUUCAGUGUUUCAUCGACCAGAGUCCCUUCUCCCUCACCCUGAAGCUCUGGGACGCCUACAUCCUGGACGGGGAACGCAUGCUUACAGCCAUGGCUUACAGAAUCCUGAAGGUGCACAGUGA